CCUACGGGUGGCAGCAGUGGGGAAUAUUGCACAAUGGGCGAAAGCCUGAUGCAGCAACGCCGCGUGAGCGAUGAAGGUCUUCGGGUCGUAAAGCUCUUUUCUCAAGGAAGAUAAUGACGGUACUUGAGAAGGAAGCCGCGGCUAACUACGUGCCAGCAGCCGCGGCAAUACGUCGGGGGCUAGGGUUAUCCGGAAUUUCUGGGCGUAAGGGGGGCGUAGGGGGUUUCUUGAGUCAGAGGUGAAAGGCUAGGGCUCAACCGUAGUAAGCCGUUGAAACUGGGGAACUUGAGUGGAGGAGAGGUAAGUGGAAUUCGUGGUGUAGCGGUGAAAUGCGUAGAUAUUGGGCGGAACACCAGUUGCGAAGGCGGCUCUCUGGACUGAAACUGACGCUGAGGCACGAAAGCGUGGGGAGCGAACAGGAUUAGAUACCCCAGUAGUC
rnacentral:rRNA from 1 species